rnacentral:rRNA from 1 species
CUGGCUCAGGAUGAACGCUAGCUACAGGCUUAACACAUGCAAGUCGAGGGGCAGCAUGAACUUAGCUUGCUAAGUUUGAUGGCGACCGGCGCACGGGUGAGUAACACGUAUCCAACCUGCCGAUGACUCGGGGAUAGCCUUUCGAAAGAAAGAUUAAUACCCGAUGGCAUAGUUCUUCCGCAUGGUAGAACUAUUAAAGAAUUUCGGUCAUCGAUGGGGAUGCGUUCCAUUAGGUUGUUGGCGGGGUAACGGCCCACCAAGCCUUCGAUGGAUAGGGGUUCUGAGAGGAAGGUCCCCCACAUUGGAACUGAGACACGGUCCAAACUCCUACGGGAGGCAGCAGUGAGGAAUAUUGGUCAAUGGACGAGAGUCUGAACCAGCCAAGUAGCGUGAAGGAUGACUGCCCUAUGGGUUGUAAACUUCUUUUAUACGGGAAUAAAGUGAGGCACGCGUGCCUUUUUGUAUGUACCGUAUGAAUAAGGAUCGGCUAACUCCGUGCCAGCAGCCGCGGUAAUACGGAGGAUCCGAGCGUUAUCCGGAUUUAUUGGGUUUAAAGGGAGCGUAGGCGGACGCUUAAGUCAGUUGUGAAAGUUUGCGGCUCAACCGUAAAAUUGCAGUUGAUACUGGGUGUCUUGAGUACAGUAGAGGCAGGCGGAAUUCGUGGUGUAGCGGUGAAAUGCUUAGAUAUCACGAAGAACUCCGAUUGCGAAGGCAGCCUGCUGGACUGUAACUGACGCUGAUGCUCGAAAGUGUGGGUAUCAAACAGGAUUAGAUACCCUGGUAGUCCACACAGUAAACGAUGAAUACUCGCUGUUUGCGAUAUACAGUAAGCGGCCAAGCGAAAGCGUUAAGUAUUCCACCUGGGGAGUACGCCGGCAACGGUGAAACUCAAAGGAAUUGACGGGGGCCCGCACAAGCGGAGGAACAUGUGGUUUAAUUCGAUGAUACGCGAGGAACCUUACCCGGGCUUGAAUUGCAACUGAAUGAUGUGGAGACAUGUCAGCCGCAAGGCAGUUGUGAAGGUGCUGCAUGGUUGUCGUCAGCUCGUGCCGUGAGGUGUCGGCUUAAGUGCCAUAACGAGCGCAACCCUUAUCGAUAGUUACCAUCAGGU